AUGGAGCUACUUUUUUGUUUUAUUGCUCAAGUGGAAGAUGUUAAAAAAAGAAACCCUCAACGGGAAUGCAGUUUAUACCAACUUCACACAAUCUGUUACACUCAUUGAUCCGUGGAAUAAUCAUGACACUCAAAUGAAUUUGUAUGCUGGUAUUUACUAUGGGAAUGUAAAACGAAUAUUACAGUAGGCUUUGACAGAUUUGGGCUAACAGAUCAGAUUUGGAGAAAACAAAAAACCCACAACCCAAAAGGAUGGGAUUUUACAACUCAAGACAUCUCCCAGAAUGUCUCUCUGGCCUCCUCUCCUCCCAGGGACCCAAUUUGGAACUGAAACCCUGAGGUGAGAUAAUUGAGGUGAGAUAAUUGCAAUAAUGGAACAAUUCUUACCAAGUCACUGUGGUAACUCAGUGACUCCCCCUUUUGUGUUGAUGCUACACAAGGCUAAGUUCUGAAUCUAUAGCUAUUUGUGGUACUAUUUCUUUAAAAACCUAGAUAUCAACAAAAGAAACUACAUUAAUCCAAUGUGGCAAUCAGGUGCCGUGAACUAUCCUAGUACUUUAAUUCUAAAAGCUGAACCUUCUUGGCAAAAGAAAAUGAUAGAAUUUCUCUUCCCAAGACAUUUCAUUUAGCCACCUCUAUUUGUCUUCUAUUUUCUUCCAAGAUUUCCCACUACCAAGCAUAGUAGUUUUUCUCUGAACCACUCGCCAUAGCCUAAGGUAGUCUAAUUAAAGCAAUGGAUCAUUCACGCUGCUUUUCAGUAAUCCUACAGUGACUUAAUGAACAGAGUGCAGCAAUUCAACACAUGGAUUCUUACUCAUUGCAUCCUAAUUGUAUGUAAGUACCACACAAUUCUAUUGAGACUCACAGACAUUUCUUUCUUCUCCUCUUCAAUGAAAAAGCAAACAUUAAUUGAGCCAUACCACGAUUUGGGAAAUAAACAUUUCAUGUAAAUUGAAAAAAAUGCUUCUCUACUUGUAAUAUACACCAUUUUUGUUUCUUUGAAUUUUCUUAAUUUUCUACAAUGAGCACGUACUAGUUUUGUGAAGAGAAAAAAAUAAAAAAAUUUUUUUUAAUCUUUAGGUCCGGAGUCUGCCUAUUGAAAAUAGUAUUGUGGUAUCUUUAUCUUUAGAGAUAAAUGUCUUUACUUUUGAUAGAAAAGAUGAGAAGUGUUUCAACAAAAGAAAUAGUACAUUAUGGUUUCAAACCUCAAAGCAUGGUGACAACCUGGGGUGUUAAUGAAGGAAACCUGAAUUCCGAGAUCUAUUUGCUAAAGGGAGGCUGGAAGUCUUGGAAGAAGAUUCUGAUUGUGUAAUCGAGUUAUUAAUAUCAGAAAUGCUUUUCCAUAGGCCUUUACUUUGAAUUCAUUUUUUGAAUGAGAUAGCUGGUCUUUAAAAACAACUUACUUUUUACUGCUGCAGCACUACACGUGUACGGUAAAAAUAAUUCAAAUGGUAAAAAGAAAGAGGUACUGUGAAAAAAAUGAAAAACUCCUGACAUCCCAAUUAUGCAGUCCUCAGAGAUAAUGAUCAUUUCUUGUGCCCCUUUUUAGAAAUUUUCUCUGGGUGUAUACUCCCUCUAUGUCUCUAUUCCUUUAAAUCUAUAUUCUAUUGCUUUAUAUCUCCAUAUCUAUAUAUUAAUAUGUAGGUAUUACAGUUGCUAUACACUUACACCAUUAAAACAGUUAUUUGACUUUUUAUAUUU